rnacentral:lncRNA from 1 species
AGAGAGUAGCCAAGAGCAGAGCAGCUUCUCCAAUCAUCUGCUGGUGACAGCAUGACUGCGGCCACAUUAACAUUCUCCUCGGUAGACGACACAAACUCAAAAGGGACUUCCUGGAGCAGACUGGGCCAUGCAGGGGGGAUCUGUACCAACACAUUGGAAUUCUGGGAUGCCCGCUCUGCUCUGCUCAGUUGGCAUCACACGGCACAGCUGCCUAAUGCCGGGGAAGCCAAAUGCUCCUCUAGCCAGAGGAGACCACAGAGACUGUGGCAGGCUCAGUACCCACAGGAGAAAGAGGGAGAGGGCGGUGAUGAAGGAAGGAAGAGAGGAAAGAGAGGAACAGCAACGUACAAACACAUGUACAAACGGACCCGCCUGUUGGUUUACAGUACUUGACUUCAUCUAUAACGUGAUGGCACAG